rnacentral:misc_RNA from 1 species
CAUUGAAUUACCAUCAAAACUACCUUACAAAAGGAGGAAACAAGGAGGAAAUUAAAGAUACAUACUUUACACGGAAGAAAGGAAAUUAAAAUCAACCAAUACAGUGCAUGAGUCUAUACUUUGGUUCACUUUCAGAAUACAAAAUCAGCAGUAAGAAACAAAGAAUGUGUUUACAGCUAAAAUAAAAAUGCAAGACUUGGUGGGUUAGAUCAGGGCCCAAAGCUGUUAAGUGUAUAUUAAAGAAGGAAGGUCAAGAAGAAGGGAUGCAAGGAGUCAACUGCAAACGAAGAAGGAAAGGAAAGUUUCAGAAUUAAACAGCUGGAGUUGAUUAACUGGGAGGUUAAACUGCUAGAGGAUAAGAGGAAAGCACAGCCACAUGGGACUGAGAACAGAGGGAAUGAUCCAUCUUCAAUAUAAAUACGGAUUUUGGCAGAAAUCAGACGCAGUCAGUAUUUUAUCCAUUCAGCAGCAGUAGCUGGGGCUAGCUUGGCUAGUUUGGGAGAUUCCUCCUGGUUAUCUUGUUGGUUUAAUUAUUUCUAUUGUACUUCCUUUUCUGUUAAGAGCAGUAGAAGAAGAAGAGAGGAAUUGUAAUUGAAAGCUGCUGAGUUGUGUAAAGGCAAUUUGCCAAUAUUCAUUCAAUACAAAUUACAUUUCUCGAUUUCCAUUUUCUCAGUUUACAUUUCUGCAAUUGUUCCUAACUCAUCAGAUUGAUUGUCAACAUGUUCUACUGCUAAAAGGAG